rnacentral:lncRNA from 1 species
CCCAGUUGGUCUCCCGCGGCGCGGACUGUCCCGCUGGUCUCGCGGGCCUGGGUGGGGAGCGGCCGCAGAGCUGCUGGAACCAGGAGGAGGCGCCGCUCCCCCGAGGGCCCCGGAGACCUCUUGUCCUCGCGCCGCGGGAAGGGCCUGGGGAGCUGUCCAGGGCUCGGGGUUUUGGAGGUGCUUGAGCCUCCCUGCCCUCUGUGACCGCAGGAACCGUAGCCUCACUUGGGUGCUCAACAUAGUGCGUGGGCGUCUUUUUGGAGGCGAGACAAAAUCAUCGCAGCUAAGGACAGCGCGCCUUUGUCGAUGGGAUAGAAAAAACGUGAAAGGAGGGCCGUUUCCCAAGUUGUUUUUGUUUCUGUUUUGUUUUGUUGUUUUGUUGUUGUUUUAAUGCCUAUUAUUGCUUCCUAGAUGGCCCUCUCUUAAAUGUACAGCCUUCUAGUAGCGUAUGUGGGCUAUUUGAAAACCUCUGCUUCCAAUCAGUUUCUGUUUUCAAAACUAGCCUAGAACUUUAAUAUGACUUAAAUUUGAGCAAUGCCUCAUAUUGGUUCAACAUAAAAUAUAUGAGUAUAUGAGAGAGAGGGGGAGGGAGGGAGAAUCUACAGCGUAUUGUACUAGCAUGGUGCUGUGUUCUGUGAAAGGGCUUUAUAUGCAAAGCAGCCCCCAAACGCGAAGGAGUCAAGAAACCAAAGAACGAGACAGACAAAUCCAGUCUGUAGGUAAUAGGGGUGCUAUUGGAGGAUGUGGUAGACAGAAGCGUGGCCUUGGGCGGCGGCAAGCAGAUAAAUUUCUGCACUGUUACUCCCCAGACCCUGGCCUUAUAUACCGUAAGGAAAGAGUAUACUGCUCUGUGCAAGACAAUUAAAGGCAGCCCUCCGGAACAGGUGAGAAUGCCGUAUGCUUCAUAGCCUACAAUGUGGGCAAUAGCAUCAAGGUUGACAUGUUCUUAUGCUAAGGACAGUUUAAAAAAAAAAUCCUAGGAAUCAGGAGGUAUUCAUGGGACUGGGGUUAUUAAAGGUCAACAUGGCGGAUUAGCAUCCGGGAUAUAAUCACUUUUGUCUCCAUAUGCUGGAAAAGGAAAAGUAGAAGACACAGGGACCUUCUCAGACUUACUGGUGUGGGGAGGGAAGGUGCCAGGGCAGAGGGGGCAAGAGGACAAGUUUGCGACACUAGAUGCAGUGUUCUAGACAUAUGCUAGAAUGGGAAGGGCAAAGUGCUUCUCAACGUGGAGGUUAAGGGUAAGAGAUGAGGAUCUAGUCUUCUUUGAGAAUGAGGAAGAAUAAAUUAAAUGGACAGCAAAUGUGGUUCUUUGUAUAGAACUUCUCAUUCGCUUUCACGUGUGAACCACAUGCCUAUUCCAGCCCUGACAAAGUCACAACAGAGUGGUUGUUCUCUGGGAAAGGAGGCAAAAUUGCAAAAUUUGUGGAGCUUGCCAACCCCAUCACCCCCACCCCACUGGCGGGUUGCCUUUCCUCUGGGAGCCUCCUCUCCACCAGCCCAGCUGUCUACUCAGCCUCAGGCUCUCCCCAAGUCAGCACCUCCCCCGGGUUUUCUUUACAGGUAUUAAUAUAUCUGAAGGCAGCCCUUUUCUGAGCAUCUGUCUCCGUUGCUCCAGCUUUUCUACUUUCUCUCUGCCCUGCACCAAAAGCAGGACCUGUAGUCUUGCCUAGAGCAUUCUUUUUUCUCACCCAUAUCCACUUGAACUCAGUUUGCUUCUCUCACUUUCUACUCUCACAUUAAUGGAGUUAAACAGGACCUCAGAGAUCCUGUAUUUAACAAUCAUUGAUUUUACAGGGACAUGAGACUCAUCAUGGGUUAGUGACUUGCUCUAUGUCCUGCAGCUAAAUACUGACAAAAUCGAUGAGUUAUUGGACUCAGAGUCUUGAAAUACUCCAGGUAGCAUUUCUUUCACUUCCAGUAAUAUCAGUUUAUUCAACUCCUACUCUGGACCAGGCACAGAUCUAGGUGCUGGGGUAAACACGGCAAGUGAAACAAAGGCCUUGCCCUCAUAGGUCAUACAUUCUGGUGGAGGAAACAAACAAUAAACAAGUAUCUAAUAUGUCCUGUGUGAUGCGUGGUAUAAAGAAAAUAAAGGCUAGGGAAUGGAAAUGAAGGGAACACUUAUUUUGCAAAGGUGAUAUGAAGCCAUUUCUGAGAAGCCUUGAACAGAAACCUAAAUUGAUACAAUUUAAUUGUAUUUGACAACUAUACACUGAGCACCUGUGGAAAGGCCAUACCUAAGAGUUUGCACCUUAAUAUUAUAGAUAAAGCAUGUAUAUGAACACUACAAUGAGAGACUAUAAAUCAGGAAAGAAAUGCCUAGAAUGCAAUCAAAAUGCAAUUAGUUUCAGAGGAAGGAGCUAAUAUUUUGUCAGAUGGUUGACAUAGCAUUUGGAUUAGGCUUUUGAGAGAGGAUAUUUUAUCAAACUAUGAAGGGGAGAAAGGGUGGUCUGGUUAAGUGAACUGCAAAACCAAGAGAAGGAAAGUAUCUCUUUGUGUCUGUGUGAUUUGAACUGUCUAAAAUGGCUGGAGUGGAAGGUACAAUAUUAGAGUUGAGAGAUGUAGAAACUAAAACACAAAGAAGCUCAGCGACUUAUUUAGAAUAAAGAGAGAUUGCCAC